rnacentral:tRNA from 1 species
GCUUUCAUCGUUCAAUGGAUAGGACAUCUCCCUCCGAAGGAGAAAAUCCAGGUUCGACUCCUGGUGAGAGCA